GACGAACGCUGGCGGCGUGCUUAACACAUGCAAGUCGAACGAAGAGCGAUGGAAGCUUGCUUCUAUCAAUCUUAGUGGCGAACGGGUGAGUAACGCGUAAUCAACCUGCCCUUCAGAGGGGGACAACAGUUGGAAACGACUGCUAAUACCGCAUACGAUCUGACCUCGGCAUCGAGGAUAGAUGAAAGGUGGCCUCUAUUUAUAAGCUAUCACUGAAGGAGGGGAUUGCGUCUGAUUAGCUAGUUGGAGGGGUAACGGCCCACCAAGGCGAUGAUCAGUAGCCGGUCUGAGAGGAUGAACGGCCACAUUGGGACUGAGACACGGCCCAGGCUCCUACGGGAGGCAGCAGUGGGGAAUCUUCCGCGAUGGACGAAAGUCUGACGGAGCAACGCCGCGUGAGUGAUGACGGCCUUCGGGUUGUAAAGCUCUGUUAAUCGGGACGAAAGGCCUUCUUGCGAAUAGUUAGAAGG
rnacentral:rRNA from 1 species